GGAAACUUAGAAACUACUGUUGGAUCGAGAAAUGGAUGUCCGAGAUUCGUCCACGUCACCAUGAGUUAAAAUUUAACUCGCGGAUUCACUCAUGAGUUAAAAUUUAACUCGCGGAUUCACUCAUGAGUUAAAAUUUUAUUGGGAGUUAAAUUUUAACUCAUGGUGACGUGGAUGAAUCUCGGACGUCCAUUUCUCGAUCCAACGGUAGUUUCCAAGUUUCC
rnacentral:pre_miRNA from 1 species